UUAGUAAUCUCAAUUGAUGGUUCAUAGUCAGGUACAGGUUGGACUUUUUGUUCUGUUCUUUCCCCGCUGCUCACUGCUAUGCCUCAGUAAUCUUU
rnacentral:scRNA from 1 species